AAUCAAGCAGUGACGUGCCUCAUCCGUUCCUAACCCCAAAGCCGAAGCCACCGUGCACCUCACCAUAACCAUCAGCAUCAGCCCCAAUAUGACCAUUAAAGUCCCCUCCAAUAACUAACUUCUCGGAUUAGGGAAUACUACUCACCAGAUCAUCCAAGUCCUCCCAAAAGCCCCUCUUAACCUCCUCGUCUAAGCCCGCUUGCGGCGCGUAAGCGCUGAUGACGUUGAGGACGCAACCCCCAAUAUCCAACUUAAUAGAUAUUAACCUAUCAUUCACUCG
rnacentral:lncRNA from 1 species